rnacentral:lncRNA from 1 species
UAAAUUUUUUUUAAAAAAAAUACACAUUUUUUAUUUUUUUGACUUUUAAAAAUUAUAUUUUGCCCCUUAAAAAUUUUUAAAAUAUUUUUAAAAGGAUACGACAUUAAUAAAGAGAAAAAAUAAUCAAAUUGUCUUACUCCUCAUAUAAAAAAAUAAUAAUUUUUAAUAUAUUUUUGUCAUUUUAAAAGAUAUUUUUUGCAUGAAUUAUAAGAAAUGGAUGAAAUAGUAAUGGAACCCGAUAAAAGGGGGUUAAAUGCACGUAACAGCUUGAAUGUUGAGAGUGUAUAGGUUUAAGAGAGUUAUAAAAAGGUAAAGGAAAAAAAAAAAAUUAUAAGAGAGUUUUCUGGAAAGGAUAUUUAUAAAUCACUUUAGUAGUUUAGGUCUUUAUUUUGAAAUUUCUAUAAUUAGAUUUUAGUUUGUGUAAGAAUCCAUCUUGGCGAUAAUCUCUAUUAUAGAGUGCACAUCUUACACUCUAUUUUUUAGCUUUAAAAAUAUAUUUUAAAUUGGUUAAAUUACAGAAAAUCUCUUUGUCAGUGUCCGAUUUUUCAUUUUUUUCCAAUUUCAUUUAAAAACCUAUGCUUUACACUGCUUAAAAAAUAAAAAAUGUUCACAGUACAGUAUGCUGUGAUAAAAUGACCAAAUUACCCUUCAUCUUCUUCGAAGUGGGUGUGAAUGGAAAGACAUGGACAAGGGCGAAGGUGAGGCGUCAGAGGCGGACGAGGGCGUGCGUGCGGGCAUAGACAGAGAGGUAGGCAAGGGCGAGGCUGCGCAGCGGAGAGUGAGGCGGUGCGGCCGAGGAUGAGAAAGGAGGAGGAUUUCAGGUAUAUUUUUGAUAUAAAAAAUAGAAUAUAAACAGAACUCUAAAGGAACACUGGCAGCGGGGGUCAAAGUGAACAUUUUUUAAUUUUUAAGGGGACAAAGUAUAGAUUUUUUAAUGAUAGGAAGAAAAUAAAAAAGCAGGUAUUGACAGGAAAAAUUUUUGUAAUUUAGCCUUUUAAAUUUUUAGCAUUAAAAAAAGUUAAUAAACGACUGAGUAAAUCUAGGUCUAUG